rnacentral:snoRNA from 1 species
UUUUUUAUGAUGAAAAAAGAAAUACUGACAAAAUAAUUUGAUGAGUUUUUGCUAUUUCACCAAGAUCACUGAAAAA